rnacentral:rRNA from 1 species
UGGGGAAUUUUGCGCAAUGGGGGAAACCCUGACGCAGCAACGCCGCGUGGAGGAUGAAGUCUCUUGGGACGUAAACUCCUUUCGAUAGGGAAGAUUAUGACGGUACCUAUAGAAGAAGCCCCGGCUAACUUCGUGCCAGCAGCCGCGGUAAUACGAGGGGGGCAAGCGUUGUUCGGAAUUAUUGGGCGUAAAGGGCGCGUAGGCGGUUUGGCAAGUUUGGUGUGAAAUCUUCGGGCUCAACUCGAAGUCUGCAUCGAAAACUGCCGGGCUUGAGUAUGGGAGAGGUGAGUGGAAUUUCCGGUGUAGCGGUGAAAUGCGUAGAUAUCGGAAGGAACACCUGUGGCGAAAGCGGCUCACUGGACCAUAACUGACGCUGAGGCGCGAAAGCUAGGGGAGCAAAC